UACGUAGGGGGCAAGCGUUGUCCGGAUUUAUUGGGCGUAAAGAGCGUGUAGGCGGUUAGGUAGGUCCGUUGUGAAAACUCGAGGCUCAACCUCGAGACGCCGAUGGAAACCAUCUAACUAGAGUCCGGAAGAGGAGAGUGGAAUUCCUGGUGUAGCGGUGAAAUGCGCAGAUAUGCGGAGGAACACCGAUGGCGAAGGCAAUCCCCUGGGCCUGCACUGACGCUCAUGCACGAAAGCGUGGGGAGCAAACAGG
rnacentral:rRNA from 1 species